CGAAGAGCUAGGGUUAGCUAGCGAGGUUAAUGUUUGGUGUUUGUUUAUAGCUAACUGAAUGAAACGCCAGCCAGGUUUGCUUAGCAACUCGUCAAAAGGGGGCGGAGUUUCACGUCACAUCGCUGAGUCGGCUCCCUAUUGGUCACGCGGAGCGGAAACAAUUCAAGCUGGUUUCUGUUCAGCGUUUGGUGUCAUCUUGCCUCAGGAUGUUAUGAGCUUAUUUUUCACCUGUGCUGAGUUCACACUGACGUCAAUUCCACACACUGUGUGUGAAAUCAAAUGGAAGAGGACAUGGCUUCUUGGAUGUAUUGGAACGGGGCCAGCUGGUUCAUAAUGUCAGGAACCCUACGAAAAUGUCACAUCAACUUGACCUGUGCGCUGGGGUCAAGACCAAGACCAUAGCCAAUGGCGUCCGAGUGAAGACCACUGAGUAUAUCAGGGGGCAGAGGAACUGAGAAGAGACCAACACCACACAUGGCCGAGUCCAUGUCAGAUGCUCAAGACCAGAUGCUCAGAUGUGUUAUUUCACUGGGUGUAGUAUCUUCCUUACCUUACAUGAAAUUUCUUUGGAACGAAUUAAAAUAUCUACUUAGAAGUACAUAGGACAUACAUAGGACAGGUUAAGCAUAACCCAUUCUUAGGGAGCAUCCCAUCAAUCCAUCCAUUUUCUCUACCACUUAUCCUUACUGGGUUGCGGGGAACCUGGAGCCUAUCCCAAGGGGCAUGGGGCACAAGGCCGGGGACACCUUGGACAUUGUACCAGUCUCUUAGGGAGCAUGCAUGAGGUGGUGUCGGAAAAAUAUUUUGAGUCUUCGUAGGCAGAGACAAGGCCGAGUAAAAUUUCACCUGAAGACUGAGACCACUGAUUUACACCUGAUUUUUUUUAAAUAUAAUUUUUCACGUGAUUUUUGCAUAUGAAUCAUUUAUUUUCACUUGUGGUUUUAUAUUUCACAGGGUUUUUUUUCCAUGAAUCAUUUAUUUUCCCAUAUGAUUUUUUUCCACAAGUUCUUUAUUUUCCCAUGCAUGAUGAAUUUCUUUUCGCAUGAUUUAUAUUUCACAUGCAAUUUUACACAUGCAAUUAAUUUUCUCAUGACUUUUACACUCUAUUUAUUUUUCCAGAUUUUUUGAACAUGGUUUAAUUUUCCACAUGUGAUUGGUCAUCGUUCAUGAAUAAUUUAUUUUCACAUGAUUUUUUUAUUAUGCCUCCGCCCGGCUGCGGAGGCAUUAUGUUUUCGAGUUGUCCAUGCGUCUCUCGUCUGAGUGUGAAGAACAAGUGGUUGAAUGUUUGAAGGAUUUAUAUGGAAUUCUUUGUUGUAACC